UUUCAUGACAUUUUGCUAUUCCCUUCAAUAAUAACCAACAAAAUAAAAGAAAACUAGUUCAUGAAAAUCAAUUCUCUGAAUUUGGAUAUAGGCACCAUUGAAGCGGACAAAAGUGUGACUCUACUGUUUGAUAAACAAUUACGGUGCUCUCCUUGAAAAUUUUUGGUCAUCAACAUUUUUCCCUGGUUAUGGAUUCUUAAAGGAUGUCUUAAAUGGGGAAGAGCUUGAUAUAUGAUUCCCAAGCUCAAGGAAAGAAAUCCUUAAGUCCAAGGAUUCCUAAUGUCAUGUCUUUACUGUAAAGUUUUUAAAUAUUGCACUUAUGUAUUAUCUUAUAAGGGUUGUGUCCCUAAAGUACUCUCAUGAUGUUGAGUGUAGGAUGGAAAA